rnacentral:rRNA from 1 species
UGGGGAAUAUUGGACAAUGGGCGAAAGCCUGAUCCAGCAAUGCCGCGUGAGUGAUGAAGGCCUUAGGGUUGUAAAGCUCUUUCGGCGGGGAAGAUGAUGACGGUACCCGCAGAAGAAGCCCCGGCUAACUUCGUGCCAGCAGCCGCGGUAAUACGAAGGGGGCUAGCGUUGUUCGGAAUUACUGGGCGUAAAGGGCGCGUAGGCGGCGCAUUAAGUCAGGUGUGAAAGCCCUGGGCUCAACCCAGGAAUUGCACUUGAUACUGAUGUGCUUGAAUCCGGAAGAGGAUGACGGAAUUCCCAGUGUAGAGGUGAAAUUCAUUGAUAUUGGGAAGAACACCAGUGGCGAAGGCGGUCAUCUGGUCCGGUAUUGACGCUGAGGCGCGAAAGCGUGGGGAGCAAACAGG